GUCUCUAAUGACUUGGCGAUAGUACAGUUGGUACGGUGCAAAAAAGAAACAAAUAUUUUCCAAAUUAGAAAUUUGCAAAAUAAUUACAAAUGUGAUACGAAAAUCAUUUGUUGAUGUGACAGACGACCAAAUUUCAGCUCCGAUUAAAAUAUGGCUAGCCCAUGCCAAGGAACGCAUGACGAGAAACAAAGAACAAG